UUAAGUGAAUAAGGGCGCACGGUGGAUGCCUUGGCACUAGGAGCCGAUGAAGGACGGGACUAACACCGAUAUGCUUUGGGGAGCUGUAAGUAAGCUAUGAUCCAGAGAUUUCCGAAUGGGGGAACCCAAUAUCUUUUAUAGGAUAUUACUUUUCAGUGAAUACAUAGCUGAUUAGAGGUAGACGCAGAGAACUGAAACAUCUUAGUACCUGCAGGAAGAGAAAGAAAAUUCGAUUCCCUGAGUAGCGGCGAGCGAAACGGGAAGAGCCCAAACCAACAAGCUUGCUUGUUGGGGUUGUAGGACUCCAAUAUGGUAGUCUGUUAGUAUAGUUGAAGGAUUUGGAAAAUUCCGCUAAAGAGGGUGAAAGCCCCGUAGACGAAAUGCUGACAACACCUAGGAGGAUCCUGAGUACGGCGGAACACGAGAAAUUCCGUCGGAAUCCGCGGGGACCAUCCCGCAAGGCUAAAUACUCCCUAGUGACCGAUAGUGAACCAGUACCGUGAGGGAAAGGUGAAAAGCACCCCGGAAGGGGAGUGAAAUAGAUCCUGAAACCGUGUGCCUACAACAAGUCAAAGCUCGUUAAUGAGUGAUGGCGUGCCUUUUGUAGAAUGAACCGGCGAGUUACGAUUGCAUGCGAGGUUAAGUCGAAGAGACGGAGCCGCAGCGAAAGCGAGUCUGAAUAGGGCGAAUGAGUAUGUAGUCGUAGACCCGAAACCAUGUGAUCUACCCAUGUCCAGGUUGAAGGUGCGGUAAAACGCACUGGAGGACCGAACCCACGUACGUUGAAAAGUGCGGGGAUGAGGUGUGGGUAGCGGAGAAAUUCCAAACGAACUUGGAGAUAGCUGGUUCUCUCCGAAAUAGCUUUAGGGCUAGCCUCGGAAUUGAGAAUGAUGGAGGUAGAGCACUGUUUGGACUAGGGGCCCAUCUCGGGUUACCGAAUUCAGAUAAACUCCGAAUGCCAUUCAUUUAUAUCCGGGAGUCAGACUGCGAGUGAUAAGAUCCGUAGUCGAAAGGGAAACAGCCCAGACCACCAGCUAAGGUCCCAAAAUAUAUGUUAAGUGGAAAAGGAUGUGGGGUUGCACAGACAACUAGGAUGUUGGCUUAGAAGCAGCCACCAUUUAAAGAGUGCGUAAUAGCUCACUAGUCGAGUGACCCUGCGCCGAAAAUGUACCGGGGCUAAACAUAUUACCGAAGCUGUGGACUACACCAUUAGGUGUAGUGGUAGGAGAGCGUUCUAAGGGCGUUGAAGGUCGAUCGUGAGGACGGCUGGAGCGCUUAGAAGUGAGAAUGCCGGUAUGAGUAGCGAAAGACAGGUGAGAAUCCUGUCCACCGUAUGACUAAGGUUUCCUGGGGAAGGCUCGUCCGCCCAGGGUUAGUCGGGACCUAAGCCGAGGCCGAUAGGCGUAGGCGAUGGACAACAGGUUGAUAUUCCUGUACCAGUUGUUUUUGUUUGAGCAAUGGAGGGACGCAGUAGGCUAAGGAAUGCAUGCGAUUGGAAGUGCAUGUCCAAGCAAUGAGUCUUGAGUAGAGUUAAAUGCUUUACUCUUUAAGGACAAGUUGUGAUGGGGAGCGAAAUAAUAGUAGCGAAGUUCCUGAUGUCACACUGCCAAGAAAAGCUUCUAGUGAGAAAACAACUGCCCGUACCGUAAACCGACACAGGUAGUCGAGGAGAGUAUCCUAAGGUGAGCGAGCGAACUCUCGUUAAGGAACUCGGCAAAAUGACCCCGUAACUUCGGGAGAAGGGGUGCUGACUUCGGUCAGCCGCAGUGAAUAGGCCCAAGCGACUGUUUAUCAAAAACACAGGUCUCUGCAAAAUCGUAAGAUGAAGUAUAGGGGCUGACGCCUGCCCGGUGCUGGAAGGUUAAGAGGAUGGGUUAGCUUCGGCGAAGCUCAGAAUUGAAGCCCCAGUAAACGGCGGCCGUAACUAUAACGGUCCUAAGGUAGCGAAAUUCCUUGUCGGGUAAGUUCCGACCCGCACGAAAGGCGUAACGAUUUGGGCACUGUCUCAACGAGAGACUCGGUGAAAUUUUAGUACCUGUGAAGAUGCAGGUUACCCGCGACAGGACGGAAAGACCCCAUGGAGCUUUACUGUAGUUUGAUAUUGAGUGUUUGUACCACAUGUACAGGAUAGGUAGGAGCCGAUGAGACCGGAACGCUAGUUUCGGAGGAGGCGCUGGUGGGAUACUACCCUUGUGUUAUGAACCCUCUAACCCGCACCACUAAUCGUGGUGGGAGACAGUGUCAGAUGGGCAGUUUGACUGGGGCGGUCGCCUCCUAAAAGGUAACGGAGGCGCCCAAAGGUUCCCUCAGAAUGGUUGGAAAUCAUUCGAAGAGUGUAAAGGCAGAAGGGAGCUUGACUGCGAGACCUACAAGUCGAGCAGGGACGAAAGUCGGGCUUAGUGAUCCGGUGGUUCCGCAUGGAAGGGCCAUCGCUCAACGGAUAAAAGCUACCCCGGGGAUAACAGGCUUAUCUCCCCCAAGAGUUCACAUCGACGGGGAGGUUUGGCACCUCGAUGUCGGCUCAUCGCAUCCUGGGGCUGUAGUCGGUCCCAAGGGUUGGGCUGUUCGCCCAUUAAAGCGG
rnacentral:rRNA from 1 species